rnacentral:rRNA from 1 species
UACGUAGGGUGCGAGCGUUGUCCGGAAUUAUUGGGCGUAAAGGGCUCGUAGGCGGUUUGUCGCGUCGGGAGUGAAAACACACAGCUUAACUGUGUGCUUGCUUCCGAUACGGGCAGACUAGAGGUAUGCAGGGGAGAACGGAAUUCCUGGUGUAGCGGUGAAAUGCGCAGAUAUCAGGAGGAACACCGGUGGCGAAGGCGGUUCUCUGGGCAUUACCUGACGCUGAGGAGCGAAAGUAUGGGGAGCGAACAGG